GGGGGGGGCCAGCGUUGUUCGGAAUCAUUGGGCGUAAAGGGCGCGUAGGCGGCCGACCAAGUCGGAGGUGAAAUCCCUCGGCUCAACUGAGGAACUGCCUCCGAUACUGUUCGGCUUGAGUCCCGGAGAGGGUAGUGGAAUUCCGAGUGUAGCGGUGAAAUGCGUAGAGACUCGGAAGAACACCAGUGGCGAAGGCGGCUACCUGGACGGGUACUGACGCUGAAGCGCGAAAGCUAGGGGAGCAAACAGGAUUAGAUACCCUGGUAGUCCUAGCUGUAAACGAUGGGCACUUGGUGUUGCGGGUAUCGACCCCUGCAGUGCCGAAGCUAACGCAUUAAGUGCCCCGCCUGGGGAGUACGGUCGCAAGGCUG
rnacentral:rRNA from 1 species